rnacentral:rRNA from 1 species
CUCAUAGCGUAUAUUAAAGUUGUUGCAGUUAAAAAGCUCGUAGUUGGACCUUGGACCUGGACAGGCGGUCCGCCUCACGGCGAGUACUGUCUUGCUGGGUCUUUCCUCUUGGUGAUCUGUUGUUUCGGCAGCAGGGAACCAGGACCUUUACUUUGAAAAAAUUAGAGUGUUCAAAGCAGGCUCGACGCCGGAAUAUAUUAGCAUGGAAUAAUAAAAUAGGACGUGCGGUUCUAUUUUGUUGGUUUUUGGAAUCGCCGUAAUGAUUAAUAGGGACAGUCGGGGGCAUUAGUACUCAUAUGCUAGAGGUGAAAUUCUUGGAUUUUGUGAAGACUAACUUCUGCGAAAGCAUUUGCCAAGGAUGUUUUCAUUAAUCAAGAACGAAGGUUAGGGUAUCGAAAACGAUUAGAUACCGUUGUAGUCUUAACAGUAAACUAUGCCGACUAGGGAUCGGUCGAUGUUAUCUUUUUGACUCGAUCGGCACCUUACGAGAAAUCAAAGUUUUUGGGUUCUGGGGGGAGUAUGGUCGCAAGGCUGAAACUUAAAGAAAUUGAC